rnacentral:rRNA from 1 species
AAUAGAUACCCAGGUAGUCCUAGCCGUAAACGAUGAACACUAGGCGUAGUCGGUAUCGACCCCGGCUGUGCCGUAGCUAACGCAUUAAGUGUUCCGCCUGGGGAGUACGGCCGCAAGGCUAAAACUCAAAGGAAUUGACGGGGGCCCGCACAAGCAGCGGAGCGUGUGGUUUAAUUCGUCGCAACGCGAAGAACCUUACCAGGGCUUGACAUGUGGCGGAAAACGGCGGAAACGUCGUCCUCCCGCAGGGGACCGUCAUGCAGGUGUUGCACGGCUGUCGUCAGCUCGUGUCGUGAGAUGUUGGGUUAAGUCCCGCAACGAGCGCAACCCCCGUGGCAUGUUGUAUCUCUCAUGCCAGACUGCCGAGAGAAACUCGGAGGAAGGUGGGGAUGACGCCAAGUCAGCAUGGCCCUUACGUCCUGGGCUACACACACGCUACAAUGGCCGGUACAACGGGUUGCCAAACCGCGAGGUGGAGCUAAUCCCUUAAAGCCGGUCUCAGUUCGGAUUGCAGGCUGCAACUCGCCUGCAUGAAGCCGGU